CCUACGGGUGGCAGCAGUGAGGAAUAUUGGUCAAUGGACGCGAGUCUGAACCAGCCAAGUAGCGUGCAGGAUGACGGCCCUCCGGGUUGUAAACUGCUUUUGUCGGGGAGCAAAAUACGCCACGCGUGGCGUUCCGAGAGUACCCGACGAAAAAGCAUCGGCUAACUCCGUGCCAGCAGCCGCGGUAAUACGGAGGAUGCGAGCGUUAUCCGGAUUUAUUGGGUUUAAAGGGUGCGCAGGCGGCCUGUUAAGUCAGCGGUAAAAGCCCGGGGCUCAACCCCGGCGGGCCGUUGAAACUGGCGGGCUGGAGUGGGAGAGAAGUACGCGGAAUGCGCGGUGUAGCGGUGAAAUGCUUAGAUAUCGCGCAGAACCCCGAUUGCGAAGGCAGCGUACCGGAUCCAAACUGACGCUGAGGCACGAAAGCGUGGGUAUCGAACAGGAUUAGAUACCCCUGUAGUC
rnacentral:rRNA from 1 species